UAAAAAAUAUUUUAGCCAAUGAAGUGGUCUUGGCGUAUAAUGUGGAUGGCGUUCAGGGGAAAGUGGCCCUUAGAAAAGAAGACAAUUUCUUUGGUGUUAUGAUCGAUUCUAAAAGUAAUGAAAGAACAAGACCCGUUAGAAUAAAGAAAAAUUUAAAUUUAAUAAAAACUGUAAUUGCAA